rnacentral:lncRNA from 1 species
ACGGAAAGAAGCGUGCUGUCUACGACCAGUUAGGAACAGGGAACACGAGUGUGGCUUGAGCUUCCUCAACCAUGUCGCUCAACCGAAUAGCUGCAAGCUGGGAAGUGCUGCGGAAGGCUAAUGUCGGGCAAACGGCCACUGUCAACGUGGGACAGCAAUUGUGU